AGUCACACUUGAAAGUCCAGACGGACUUACAUCCAAGAAAGCGAGGACUCAGAGCCAAUUGCGAGGCCAGGCGUAAAAAAUGCAUUACUGGGUUCAAGCUUCUUCCUCUGAUUUCAGUGGACCUCUUCCCCAACCUCGCAGGUCAACGACUGAAACGUCCUUCUUUUGCGACAGACGUGUGUGUGCGUGCAUAUGCUGUUUCUUGAUUCGGGUUUUUGUUUGAUUUAGCAGUGGUCACAGUGCUGUUGUCGUCGGAAAGUCGAAGGUGGUCGUCUUCGGUGGUCUCAUCGACAAGAAAUUUCUAAGCGACGUCGUUGUUUAUGAUAUGGGUAUUCCUUAACCUUCUUUUUUUGGGGUUUCUUUCUUGUAGUUCUUUUGUAUUCUUUUUCUCAUAUAUGAUGUGUUGAGUUUUGUGUGUGAUCGGCGAGUUAAUACUGGGUAGAAAUUCAAAUUCUCAAUUCAUUUUUAGUAAUUGAAGUGGGUUAAGUGUGCUUUGAUGGAGCAAGAUAUAGUGGAAGCAAUGGCGAAUUUUAGCUGUAGAUCAGUGUGAAUUUACAUACUUUUCCAUUUCCAUUUUUUUUCUUAGUAUUCAAACAGUAUUUUGUGGCCACACAGAUAAAUUUUGAAUCUUCAAAUUUGCAAAUUUUCUCUCUGCUUUCUGAAUUAUCGAUUUGCAGAAAACAGUUAAGAAAAAGGAACCCAAGAGAAUUCCAAGAUAGAUCAUAGGAAGAGAGCCUACUUCACAACUUAUAAGGCUGACUUAAAGGAAAAAACUAAGGGAAUUCCAAGAUAAAUAAUAGGAAGAAAACCCUACUUUUCACACCUCAUAAUGCUGUCCUUUUCCCUACUUACACCACAUAUCGCUGGCUAUUUCCUAUAUGUGCUCCUUCUCCAUUGUACAAUUCACUUUUCAAAAUUUAACCUCAACUCUAAGCCCAGCCCCUGUAAAAUCGCAUAUGCACAAACACAUGUGCACGGAAA
rnacentral:misc_RNA from 1 species